UGGAUCCAGACUUUGAUUCUGGCUCAGGAUUAACGCUGGCGGCGUGCAUAACACGUUCAAGUCGAACGGACGAGAAGGGGCUUGCUCCUUCGAGUCAGUGGCGGACGGGUGAGUAACGCGUGAGCAACCUGCCCCUGUGUGGGGGAUAACGACGGGAAACUGUCGCUAAUACCGCAUAAACAGGCAGCACCGCAUGGUGCAACCUGCAAAGAUUUAUUGCACAGGGAUGGGCUCGCGUCUGAUUAGAUAGUUGGUGAGGUAACGGCUCACCAAGUCGACGAUCGGUAGCCGGACUGAGAGGUUGAACGGCCACAUUGGAACUGAGAUACGGUCCAGACUCCUACGGGAGGCAGCAGUGGGGAAUAUUGGGCAAUGGGCGAAAGCCUGACCCAGCGACGCCGCGUGAGGGAAGAAGGUCUUCGGAUUGUAAACCUUAAACAACAGGGACGAAGAAGUGACGGUACCUGUUAGGAAGCCACGGCUAACUACGUGCCAGCAGCCGCGGUAAUACGUAGGUGGCGAGCGUUAUCCGGAUUUACUGGGUGUAAAGGGUGUGUAGGCGGAGGAGCAAGUCAGGCGUGGAAAUUACGGGCCCAACCCGUAACUUGCGCUUGAAACUGUUCCCCUUGAGUGUCGGAGAGGUAAAUGGAAUUCCCAGUGUAGCGGUGAAAUGCGUAGAUAUUGGGAGGAACACCGGUGGCGAAGGCGGUUUACUGGACGACAACUGACGCUGAGACACGAAAGUGUGGGGAGCAAACAGGAUUAGAUACCCUGGUAGUCCACACCGUAAACGAUGAAUGCUAGGUGUGGGGGCGCAAGCCUCCGUGCCGCAGCUAACGCAAUAAGCAUUCCACCUGGGGAGUACGGCCGCAAGGUUGCAACUCAAAUGGAUUGACGGA
rnacentral:rRNA from 1 species